rnacentral:rRNA from 1 species
UAGGGAAUCUUCGGCAAUGGGGGCAACCCUGACCGAGCAACGCCGCGUGAGUGAAGAAGGUUUUCGGAUCGUAAAGCUCUGUUGUAAGAGAAGAACGUGUGUGAGAGUGGAAAGUUCACACAGUGACGGUAACUUACCAGAAAGGGACGGCUAACUACGUGCCAGCAGCCGCGGUAAUACGUAGGUCCCGAGCGUUGUCCGGAUUUAUUGGGCGUAAAGUGAGCGCAGGCGGUUUAAUAAGUCUGAAGUUAAAGGCAGUGGCUUAACAAUUGUUCGCUUUGGAAACUGUUAAACUUGAGUGCAGAAGGGGAGGGUGGAAUUCCAUGUGUAGCGGUGAAAUGCGUAGAUAUAUGGAGGAACACCGGUAGCGAAGGCGGCUCUCUGGUCUGUAACUGACGCUGAGGCUCGAAAGCGUGGGGAGCAAACAGG